rfam:Giardia lamblia ATCC 50803 SC_577 genomic scaffold, whole genome shotgun sequence.
GCCGCUUUAGCUCAGUUGGUAGAGCGUUGGACUUUUAAUCCAACGGUCGCGGGUUCGAGCCCCGUAGGCGGUG